AAGAGCCCGGGGGGGGGAUGACGUCACUGAAGCCAGAGAGGAGCCAUGUCCUUCCUGGGCGCUGGGAUGGGAAAUGGAAGCUUUGGUUGAGGGCACUGGCAAGCCUGACAGGAAUAAAGCUGACAGAAUGGCGAAAAAGCCUCCAAGAUCAAGUUCUGAAUCUUUGAGGAGUACUGGAUACAACUCUCCUUGAGAGAACUCCAGAGAACUGUAUUCUAGAAAGAAAACACCCUGUUUUGCACUCACCGCCUCCACCAGGCUGUCUGCGCUGCCCCGCUUGUCGUAGCUGUGCUUGAGCGGGCCAGGCACAUGGAGAUGGCUGUAGGUGCGAUAGGGCAUCUCCGGCUCAUUCAUGUACCAUCUUGCCCGUGACAUGGGCGGAAGGCUGCUGUUCUUCUCCCAGCUGUGCCCAGGCAGCUCAUCCCCUUCCACCAGGAUUAGCGGGGCAUAAAGCAGACGGCUCCGCUUUGGUGGCGUUGCCCAUGAUUGGGAGGAAGCUGUGGAGUUGCGGCCACCACUCUGCCAUGAGUCAUAGCUGCCAUAGCCCUGGUAUGGAGGAAAGAGGAGGCAAGGUGAAGCUGGGUGCUAUAGUUCCAACAGCACUGUCAUUAGGCUGUGCACACAAGUUGUAGACUUCAAUUCUUCAAGAACACAGAUUGCAUCAAGUUAUGGACUUUAACUCUUCGACAAUACAGAAAGCACCAAAACUGAAGCAAGAAGCAACAUGAUACCAUCAGACCAUACACAACACAUAGUCUUAUCCUGGUUGACAUGGUGCAGCUGCAAAACUCUCUUGUCACACUCUAUUAUUAAUCAAUUUUAGUAUACUAUUAACAUAAUUUAUUGUAUUUUUUGGUGGUGGUGGUGGGGAACAGUUCCAGUGUGGUGUGAUGGCUAGGAUAUUGACUAGACAAACCCAAAUUCAGAUCCCAUCCACAGGUUGCAAGAAGUUCACAGGAAGAGUUAGGACACACUCUCAGCUUCCCACCCUGCAUGUGAAACUCUGGAAGUUAUUGGAACUGAAAUCAAGCUCACAUCAACAAUAGCUGGAAGCAAAGGAUUUAUUCUGGCUUUCCAAAUCACUGAAAAAUAACAGCUAUGAAGGAUUUCCCACGCAAGUAACCUGUAAUAUAACCCCCAACUCCCAUCCGCCCUCUGUGCCCACAGUCUAUUCACUGCAAUUCCUAAUUCCCUUUCCCCACCUCCCUUCUAUAUGGCAGAGAUCCAAAGCAGCCAGUCCCAGGCUGCUCCGGUGAUCCUGACACUGCAUCUUCUCUAGGUGGGAAAGGUUUAGCAUGAGGAUACAGACACAAUCAAUCUGGGUUAGGAACUGCUGUGCCCCAGAUGUUGUUAGAUGGCAACUCUUUGCAUCCAUGCCACGGUUACAGCCAUGUUGGCAGAAGCUUAUGGGGACUGGAGUCCAACAAUUGAAGGACCAUAUGUUACUCACCACUGUAAUAGUUUAAUGCAGAAAUAACAAAGGGGAAAUUUUGUAACUAUUCUCACAUUUGCCUGGGCAGUGGGAAAAAGAAAGGUUCUCUGAAUUAGAGAUGACAGCUUUGGGGCUUAGGACUAAGGCCUAAGACAAGAGAAGAAAAUUCUUUAUAGAACCCAGGAUGACCUGCAAUGGCCAUGUAGUAGUCCAACGGUACUUCAGCAGGACACUGGCCACAUUGGGACUGUUUGUUUUCUCAGAGUUGGCUAUACUGAUUAGGGAGGGCAGGCCUUGCAGUUCAACAGCAACUAGCAAAUUGUGUGCUUUUCCCCUCUCAGGUGACUCACACUCCGAAAAGAGGAACGUAGCACACAUUUUGCAAGAAUUACUGAAAGAAGUGGGCAAUUGGAUUUCAUAGCACCACAGACUGAGAGCAAGACGUUUGUAGCAUAAGCACUGAAGCUUAUAGACUGAAUCUGUGAAAGCAUGUGCGACAAACACUUUUCUCUCAAUUUGUCUCAGAGGUACUACAAGAUCCCUGGAUAGCAAACCAACAUUUGAAAACAACCAUGAAAGUGACUUAGUCAACUAGAUAAAGAUUGGAAUGUAAUUUCUUCAUUUAUUUCAUUUUUGCAUGCAAGAACAUAUAACUUCAAAUAUUUUCUCUGGACUGGGCAAAAUUAGAGUUUUUGCACGUUUGGGACAAUCUUUUAUAUUUGGGACUAUUUAUGAUUUGAAAAAAUCCUGAAAAACCCUCAAUGAUUGGCAAUUUGUUUGGACAUCUUUACCUGAGGAUGAGAAAAAGAACAUUUCUAGAAAAAGCAGCCCUGAAGUAUGCUGUUGUGUCCUGUGCUUUGAGUGCAGAUAGCACACCAAUCAUGCAUUUGAAAUGGGAUAUUCAGUCCACUGAAUUUGGAGGGUCCUUUGGAUCUGUUUUCAGUUUGAGGACACAUAAAGCCAUCAUAUGGAAGAGUAAACAGUAAACAGUAAGAAAA